GACGGACGGACUGGUCCAGCUGGGUGGACGGACACUGCACGGACACCUGGACACACAGACAGUUCACACCUUUCUAGACACACAGACAGUGCCCUCCAGCCACCCAGCCCUUACACAACACCCCAAAAACGCCCCUUUUUACCCCAAAGGCCCCACUCAGAAACCAGCAGGGCCAGACCCUUUCCCUCUGCCCCAGUAAUCCCAGUGUCCGUCUGUCCCAGCCCCAUCCGUGUCCCGGUUCUGUCCAUCAGUCCUGCCUCACUCCCGUCUCCCUGGGGGAAGGUGCCACCCUGACCCCCCCCAGUGGGACUUGGGGGUCACAGUGGGGUGCCCUGGCCAGGCUCCCAACACCCACCUCCAUCCUGGGCACCAGCAGCACCUUUUUGUUCUGGCUCUGUUCUGCCCUCCACCCUCAGCCUGGGGGUGCAGGAUGAGGGUCUCCUCUGGCUUUGGAGGCCACGCCCCAAAUUUUGUCCUAAACCUCCUUUUUCACCACAUCUGCUUGAUUUUUACUCAUUUACACAGCCUUGAUUAGGUUUCCCACUUGCACCUGGCAGGGAUUUGGGUAGAAAAGCAGCAAAAACAUCAAGUCUGGCUCUUGUAUUUCAAAGGAUGAUGAGUAUCAGUAAUCCAGGAAUAAUUUUUGGUGAGGAGUUCGUGCGUGGUGAGAUUAAAAGUUGGGGACAAAUCCUGCAAUUUCAGUUUUCAUACAUAUUUACGACUCAUGAGGGGAAAUCAAGACAAAUUUGGUUCAGUGUUUUCCUGGUUGUUAUUAAAGGAGAGGCAGGUGACCCUUCCCUGGCAGCCCCCACACCUCCCCUUCCCCGCUCCCCUCCCCACGCCGAGGGACGAGGUCGGGGCGCCGACGUGUUUUGUAUUUUUUAAUAAAGUUCGUAAUCCAAUGGACACACAAAACAAAACUGCGCUGAGAAAAAAAAAAUAAACCAAAAAAAAAAACCAAAAAAAAAAAAAAAACCAAGUUCCAUAAAUUAAUUGUUAGGGGAGACGAGGGGGGCCAGGGCAGAGUCUUUGUACAAGUGUAUAACACUUCCACAGCUGAUGAGACAAGGGGAUGUUUAAAUGAAGCGCACUUACAAAUGAGUGACAAUACAAAGUCUGAGUAUGAAAAUAAGAUUUUUUUUCUCUGAAAACACAUUUUUGGCACAGAUUAAAAAAAAAUGUAUGUUGUGGGGAUUUGAUUUUUUUUUAAAGUCAGUAUUAUAUAUAUUUAUAUAUAUUAUAUAUAUAUUUAUAUAUACACACACCCACUGAGUUCUGCAUAUCCCACCAGGAAGGAAAAAAGCUCUCCCUUUUGUUUUGUUGUUUGUUUUGUAUUCUCUUGUUUUUCAGUGUAAACUGUACAUCCCAGAUGAAGAGAAGACGGCUGCAGCAGGGGCAGGUGGAGGAAGAGGAAGGUUCACAUCCAGAAAAAAUAACCCCCCCGAAAAAAUAAACAACCCCAAAAGGAAAAAAAAAAAACAAACAACAAAAAAGCCAACGAAACAACCAAUAAAAUAAAAAAUGACUGUGAAAUGCUCCUUGACCCACAAAUCUCAGCAGAGUCCCUGCAGAACGUCCACGGCGCGGUCAAUGUGUGUCAAGACAUCCAGAACGUCACAGCGUCUCCAACUGUGCAAAGUCCGAGUCACUAAUUUAGUGCAAAGGCAGUUCAGGAGGCACGGGAACCCAAGCCCAGUCCACCUGCUGAGUGCAUCAGUUGUCCAUAAGCUAAAGCAACAUGUAAACAUCCAAGGUUUGAUCGAGGCCGUCGGGCAGGAAGCUGGUUUCUGGCAGCAUUUUCUUGUUUCACGACCUUCUCUCCUUCUUUUGAAUUAGUUUUAUUUUAAAAUUAA